CACCCACGCGCGCUCGCGCACGCACACACACAGACACACAUACAUACGCACAUUCACACACACCCAUAUGCACACAAAGGCACACACACAUACAUCAGGCCAUACAGGAAAUAAAAUAAAUGACUAGAACAAACACGGGGAAAAAUAUAGGGAAUAUAAAACAAUAUCCAAAAAUAAGCUACGAGUAAAAAAGCUAUAAGUUUUCCCUUGAAAAUAGAAGAAUUAAAUGUCACUUAUUCAACGGCAUGUCUACGAAGCAAACCCGCGCCUUCUUUACACGAGACAUCAUCUGACAAUGUGUAAAAGGGAUUAAGCCGACUCUUUUAACAACACUUUUGGAUAAUACUUACAUCGUUAACGCAGAAGGAUGUUUGACAUGACUACAGCAUCCCAUCAGCCGGUUUCGAUUGUUAUUACUAUCGUUCUUUUUUAACUGUGGAUUAUGUUUUGCACCAAUAAGAGAAAUAGAUAUAACAGAUUCGGAAUCGAAAUAGAAAGAAAAACAGAAAAAGAAAACUCGAGAGCGAAUCGGUAAUUUCAUCGACAAAUCAAAUAUGAUAUUUUCAUGUAAAGUGUUCUGCUUGAGUCUUUUUCGGAGACGAAG